UAAUGGGGCCUCACCGGCUUACUGAUCCUAACCAAACUCCGAAUACCCGGGAGUACUAGAUGGCAGACACACAGCGAAUGCUAACGUCCGUUGUGGAGAGGGAAACAACCCUGACCUACAGCUAAGGCCCCCAAUUCAUGGCUAAGUGGGAAAGCAGGUGGGACGACCAAAACAACCAGGAGGUUGGCUUAGAAGCAGCCAUCCUUUAAAGAAAGCGUAACAGCUCACUGGUCUAAUUAAGUUGUCCUGCGGCGAAGAUGUAACGGGGCUCAAGCCAUGAGCCGAAGCUUAGGAUGCAAUUUAUUGCAUGGUAGCAGAGCGUAGUGUGACAUAGUUCCACGUCUCCUUAACCACUUCGGUGGCAUUGGAGACAUGGAGCUUUCUGUGAAGCCGGCGCGUGAGCGAUCCGGUGGAGAGAUCACUAGUGAGAAUGAUGACAUGAGUAGCGACAAAGAGUGUGAGAGACACUCUCGCCGAAAGUCCAAGGGUUCCUGCUUAAAGCUAAUCUGAGCAGGGUAAGCCGACCCCUAAGGCGAGGCCGAAAGGCGUAGUCGAUGGGAACCAGUUUAAUAUUACUGGGCCAGGAGAUGGUGACGGAUCGAAAGCGUAGUGACUCCUUAUCGGAUUGAAGUUGCUGCCGGACGGUUCCUGGAAAUAGCCCUCCAUUAGAUCGUACCCUAAACCAACACAGGUGGACUGGUAGAGAAUACCAAGGCGCUUGAGAGAACUAUGUUGAAGGAACUCGGCAAAAUACCUCCGUAAGUUCGCGAGAAGGAGGCCCGGUUUCUAGGCAACUGGAAGCUGGGGGCACAAACCAGGGGGUGGCGACUGUUUACUAAAAACACAGGGCUCUGCGAAGUCGUAAGACGACGUAUAGGGUCUGACGCCUGCCCGGUGCUGGAAGGUUAAGAGGAGGUGUGCAAGCACUGAAUUGAAGCCCCAGUAAACGGCGGCCGUAACUAUAACGGUCCUAAGGUAGCGAAAUUCCUUGUCGGGUAAGUUCCGACCUGCACGAAUGGCGUAACGACUUCCCCGCUGUCUCCAACAUAGACUCAGCGAAAUUGAAUUGCCUGUCAAGAUGCAGGCUUCCCGCGGUUAGACGGAAAGACCCCGUGCACCUUUACUACAGCUUCACACUGGCAUUAGGUCAGACGUGUGCAGGAUAGGUGGUAGGCUUUGAAACUCGGACGCCAGUUCGGGUGGAGCCUCCCUUGAGAUACCACCCCUGUCUGUCUUGAUGUCUAACCGCGGUCCGUUAUCCGGAUCCGGGACCCUGUGUGGCGGGUAGUUUGACUGGGGCGGUCGCCUCCUAAAGAGUAACGGAGGCGCGCGAUGGUUGGCUCAGACCGGUCGGAAAUCGGUCGUCGAGUGCAAUGGCAUAAGCCAGCCUGACUGUGAGUCUGACAAGACGAGCAGAGACGAAAGUCGGUCAUAGUGAUCCGGUGGUCCCGAGUGGAAGGGCCAUCGCUCAACGGAUAAAAGGUACGCCGGGGAUAACAGGCUGAUACUGCCCAAGAGUCCAUAUCGACGGCAGUGUUUGGCACCUCGAUGUCGGCUCAUCUCAUCCUGGGGCUGGAGCAGGUCCCAAGGGUAUGGCUGUUCGCCAUUUAAAGAGGUACGUGAGCUGGGUUUAGAACGUCGUGAGACAGUUCGGUCCCUAUCUGCCGUGGGUGUAGGAGACUUGAUGGGAGUUGCCCCUAGUACGAGAGGACCGGGGUGAACGAUCCACUGGUGGAUCUGUUGUUGCGCCAGCAGCAGUGCAGAGUAGCUAUGAUCGGACAGGAUAACCGCUGAAGGCAUCUAAGCGGGAAGCCCCCCCAGAAACAAGGUCUCCCUUGAGGGCCGUGGAAGACCACCACGUCGAUAGGUCGGAGAUGUAAGUGCUGUAAAGCAUUCAGUUGACCGAUACUAAUUGCCCGAUAGGCUUGAUUUG
rnacentral:rRNA from 1 species